rnacentral:tRNA from 1 species
UCUCUCGUGGCGUAAUUGGUUAGCGCGUCCGACUGUUACCUACCUAGCAGGCAUCGGAAGGUUGGAAGUUCGAGUCUUCCCGGGAGAG